rnacentral:rRNA from 1 species
AUUGAACGCUGGCGGCAUGCCUUACACAUGCAAGUCGAACGGUAACAGGUCUUCGGAUGCUGACGAGUGGCGAACGGGUGAGUAAUACAUCGGAACGUGCCCGAUCGUGGGGGAUAACGAAGCGAAAGCUUUGCUAAUACCGCAUACGAUCUACGGAUGAAAGCAGGGGACCGCAAGGCCUUGCGCGAACGGAGCGGCCGAUGGCAGAUUAGGUAGUUGGGUGGAUAAAAGCUUACCAAGCCGACGAUCUGUAGCUGGUCUAAGAGGACGACCAGCCACACUGGGACUGAGACACGGCCCAGACUCCUACGGGAGGCAGCAGUGGGGAAUUUUGGACAAUGGGCGAAAGCCUGAUCCAGCCAUGCCGCGGGCAGGAUGAAGGCCUUCGGGUUGUAAACUGCUUUUGUACGGAACGAAAAGACUCUGGUUAAUACCUGGGGUCCAUGACGGUACCGUAAGAAUAAGCACCGGCUAACUACGUGCCAGCCGCCGCGGUAAGAC